CCCGGGCCUUGUACACACCGCCCGUCACGCCAUGGAAGCUGGGGGGACCUAAAGCCGGUGGGCUAACCGCAAGGGGGCAGCCGUCAAAGGUCAAUUCAGUGACUGGGGCG
rnacentral:rRNA from 1 species